UUGCUAUCUUUAUGGAGAGCGGCGAACGGGUGAGUAACGCGUGGGAAAUCUGCCGAGUAGCGGGGGACAACGUUUGGAAACGAACGCUAAUACCGCAUAACAAUGAGGAUCGCAUGAUUCUUAUUUAAAAGAAGCAAUUGCUUCACUACUUGAUGAUCCCGCGUUGUAUUAGCUAGUUGGUAGUGUAAAGGACUACCAAGGCGAUGAUACAUAGCCGACCUGAGAGGGUGAUCGGCCACACUGGGACUGAGACACGGCCCAGACUCC
rnacentral:rRNA from 1 species